rnacentral:rRNA from 1 species
UCCAGACUCCUACGGGAGGCAGCAGUGGGGAAUAUUGGGCAAUGGGCGCAAGCCUGACCCAGCAAUGCCGCGUGAAGGAAGAAGGCCCUCGGGUUGUAAACUUCUUUUAUCAGGGACGAAGGAUGUGACGGUACCUGAUGAAUAAGCUCCGGCUAACUACGUGCCAGCAGCCGCGGUAAUACGUAGGGAGCAAGCGUUAUCCGGAUUUACUGGGUGUAAAGGGCGCGUAGGCGGGAUGGCAAGUCAGAUGUGAAAUCCGGGGGCUCAACCCCUGAACUGCAUUUGAAACUGUCAGUCUUGAGUACCGGAGAGGUCAUCGGAAUUCCUUGUGUAGCGGUGAAAUGCGUAGAUAUAAGGAAGAACACCAGUGGCGAAGGCGGAUGACUGGACGGCAACUGACGGUGAGGCGCGAAAGCGUGGGGAGCAAACAGGAUUAGAUACCCUGGUAA